AAUAAAGUGUCUGAUAAAAAGUAAUAAAUUGUAAAUUUAUUUAUAGGAUGAAAUCCUCUUUAUUA
rnacentral:tRNA from 1 species